UCGCACUGCUAAAAAUUACAGAGCUUGUAAAAUUUAUCUUGUCAGUAAUUUUUAGGACAGAAUCUAGGCCAGAGUUUAUAUCACAUCUUAUCCCAUAUCUUAAUCUUACCAUAUCUUUCAUGCUUGCAUCAAUGCUCCAAAGUUUCUCACCAGAUUGAUGCAUGCUUUUUGAGCUUAAUAUACUAAAUAAUAUUGCGGGCAUC
rnacentral:lncRNA from 1 species